AGGUAGGGCAUGUUGCAGGCCGCCGUCACCAGGAAGGUGGAGACCCAGUAGAUGGGCGCCGGCGCCAGCGCCUCCACGAGGAUCUUGUAGGCGUUCCGCGAGUAGAGCGGGGAGGUGAUGCCGUAGCCGAGCAGGAAGAGGUACCAGGUGGCGACGCUGCCCCACACGAAGAGGUGCUGGAUCCAGGUGAAGUGGCUCAUGGUGAGGGCGAUCUGGAUGUUGACCGCCCAGAUGAUGCAGGUGAACAUCGUCGUCCCCACCGCCGCCAUGUCCGCCGUCUGCCCGCCGGCCCGGAAGGCCUGGUUGUAGAAGAUGUUGAUGCUGAGGAAGAAUAUG
rnacentral:lncRNA from 1 species